rnacentral:lncRNA from 1 species
GAAAAAUGGUGUUUCCAGUGGUGUCCGUGCAUUUACUCAUGAACUGGUCAACCAAAGCUUUUCAAAUCUUAAUAUGUUGUUACUGAUGACAAAAUGGAGGUCAAGUUCAAUAAUGUCGAUUUUGACUUUUACCGUUCAGAAGUUAUGGUUCUUAAAAGAUUGAAAAAUGGCGUUUCCAUUCAUGUUGUUGCAUUUACUCAUGAACCAUUCAACC